CUCAAAUCUUCACCAGCGCCAUCAUUGCUCUAUGCAGGAAGUGAUUACAGAAUCGCAAGAACUACUGACCCGGAAACGGAACUGAAGGGAACUCGCUGUUGUGUCAACCAACGAAAUAUAAAAGAAGACUGAAUCUGCAGCUUUCACUCCCCUUGGACUGACUCCAUGCCAGAAGAUAGACAACUUUCAUAUGUAUUGACAAGUGCUAAGAUGAAUUCACAACAUAACCAAUUGACUCCCGGAUAUGUUGUUUUCACUCGAGAUGGAAUGCUGUAAUAGCAGGUCUAAAAGAAUGUGAUGUGUCUGCUACCCACUCAGCUCUGGGAUGCAAACAGCAUGAACAGGAAGUCAUGAUUGUUGCCUCUGAUUUGUAUAAUGAUUUCUUGAUUUCUUCAUGGAUAACUCGUGCGACCUCAUUUAUAACCCCUCGGUUGAAUAAAUGUGUCAUCUCUGCACAUAUAUCCUCUAUGUAUGACAUCCCUGCAACUCAAUCAACUGUAAAUAUAAAAUGAAAGUUAUCAAUAUCAUGAAAAACAUGUCAAAGACACCCUUAUACAAGUUUACCAUGGUACAUUUGCACAGAAAUGUUGCAGUUGUCCCAUGCUUUUCUCAUGGCUAUACUGUGCAUAGUUUGCCAUGUUUUUUAAUAUGCGUUACUAUCCUUUCACUAUGCUUUAUUACACUUUGCCAUGCUUUUACUAGGGUAAAGUCUUAUAGACAGCCAUCUCCUUAAACUGUCAGACUCUUCAUAACUUGUAUUCAGAAAUGUGCAAACCUAUUAUUAUCAUCACAGUUGUAUACUGGUUUCUCUAGAUAUAUGUAAAUUCGAAGGUUGUGAAAUCUGGACAGAUGUACAAGACCCUCCACUAUACCAACACUGAUAGUUUGUUUUCUGUACAGAUCUAGACUCCCUAACAUGCAAAAAUAUUCAUAUCUCUAAUAUCACAAUUUUAUUAGGUUGAUCCCUUAUCAAACAGAUUUUGUAAACAUGAAAUGUGUUAGAAACAUUACAAAAAUAAUAUCAGACUGGAUAAUGAAUUCCAGUAUAUGUACCUUGUAACAUAUCAUUUCCUGUGUUCAAUCCUAUUGCAAUAAUGUGAUUGAGUUAAGGUACUUCAGAAUACAUUAUGUGUACUCAUUAACCCACGUCAAGGAGAAUUGAUUGUAAACAGCAAGUGCAAUGUGAACAAAUAUAGAUACAAAGAGGCUAGCGAGGACGCCCACAGACUUCCUGUAUGGCAAGUGCACUGAACUAUUCUGUUGCAAAUAAAAUCGGAUCGUACUCGCAUGCUUUUGUAAUUGGGUGGAACUUAGUAUUUGCGGUAGAAAGAAAAAUACUCCUACAACCAGAGAAUGAAAAUGAAUCUUGUUUAUUUUUUUCCAUACUUGAAAUAAUAUAAAAAGAAAGAUUCUGACUAGCUGACAUAACAAAGCAAUAUUGCAAUAAUGAAACUGUAAGAUUUGUUUUUAUUUUUAAAGAUCAUGUGGAAGUCAGUGACAAAUCCAGUGCUCCCCCUUUAUAACGCUGUAGUCGGGAGCCAUACUUAAGAGCCUGUGUUAUUUGUGUUAGUCUAAUAGCCUUGUAACCUGUUUCACAGUAUAAAGGGCCACCUUAUAAAGAGGAAGCACUGUACUGAGGAAAUGCAUUAAAAAAGUGUAACUGGAUAUCAAUCUCUUUAUGAGUACAUAUACUGAUACACUGUGUAGUAAUUUUACAGUAUCAAUUGCAGACUAUAAUUUGGUAGGAAGAAGAAGAUCAUUUUUUUACUUUUAUUUACUUAUACAGUAUUUGAAUAUAUAGCGACAAUAAACUUUAAUUGCAGUUUAUUUUACAGACCAAACUAAAAGUGA